rnacentral:rRNA from 1 species
AUACGGAGGAUCCGAGCGUUAUCCGGAUUUAUUGGGUUUAAAGGGUGCGCAGGCGGCCAUUUAAGUCAGCGGUUAAAUCGUGGGGCUCAACCCCAUUCUGCCGUUGAUACUGGGUGGCUUGAUUGCGGUCGAGGUUGGCGGAAUUCGUUGUGUAGCGGUGACAUGCAUAGAUAUGACGAAGAACACCGAUUGCGUAGGCAGCUGACCAGAUCGCAAAUGACGCUCAUGCACGAAAGUGCGGGGAUCGAACAGGAUUAGAUACCCUGGUAGUCCGCACAGUAAACGAUGAAUACUUGUUUUCGGCGAUAUAAUGUCGGAGGCAAAGCGAAAGCGAUAAGUAUUCCCCCUGGGGAGUACGCCGGCAACGGUGAAACUCAAAUGAAUUGACGGGG